AGACAAUUUUUUGAAAAAAAAUAUGCACGUCUUUGUAUGAUAGCAAUGCAAGUUUUUGCGUCAUUCUGGAAAAAAAAAUUAUUAUUCGUGCGACUAGUGUAUCAGAGGAAAUUUUAAUUGCCUUCGUCUCCUACUACACAUUCGGAUAUGCUUAUCCAACGUGUCUAUCCAAAACAUUGGAAUUUAUUCAAAGAGUACUUUUUCGGAUAAAUCCUCCAGGAGAUAAGCCGAUUUUUGUUUUAAGAUAAAAAUUGUAGCAAAAACCUCUCCGUUCGCGAAGUGAUUCUCCU